GCAGCACUUGACCGGAAGUAGCACAGUGGCGUUCGCCAGAUGAGCACAAUCAUCGUGUCCUCGCCACUUUCGCUGUUCGCGUGAACAUGAAUGUAGAGUCGGCGGCUCAGGUCCAGACGGACGACGUCGAGCUGGAAGACGGGGAAAUUUGCGACGAUGACGGCGAGGAGACCUCUGCCGCCCGGCGGGGGGAGGGGAACAGCAGCAGGCCUCUGCGGGGUCCGAGGCCGCCCUACAUGGCCCACCCUCCGGCGGACUUUCGCCACAUGAUGGCCUACGACGUCCACGGACCCCAGUGCGGGCCGAGCGGGCCGGACCGACCUCACGCUCCCUGCCCUCCGCCGCCGGCGCCGCCGCCGGGGCUCGCUCCUCUGUGCGGGGGGCCCGGUCCGAGGCCCAGCUUUUGGGAGCGGAGCCACGGCGCUCUGGGGAGGUUCAGACACCGAACCGUACCAAACGGAGGACGAGGGGCCUGGAACCGGGGAGGCUGGGCCGGCCCCAGACGCCCCAUGGGUCGGUAUGGGCCUGGAGAGAACAGUAACUGCCGGAACGAGUCUCCCGGCAGGAAACAGAAGCCGCUCGGAAGGAGUCUGGCGAGAAGAGCGCCAACUAGUCUGGCCAAGUGCGGCGGUGGUGCCGAGUCCUUCGAGGAUCUGCUGUCCAAGUACAAGCAGAUCCAGCUAGAGCUGGAGUGCAUCCGCAAGGAGGAGAGCAUGGCGCUGGAAGCCGAGGUCCAGGGGUCGGAGGUCAAGGUUCAAGGGGCGGAGGCCAAGGUCCAGAGGUCAGAUGUCAGGGUUCAAGGUGCGGAGGCCAAGCUUCAAGGGGAAAAGGCCAAGGUUCAGGGGACGAAAAAGCGUCCCGCGCAAGCCAUCCCGCUUCCCCAAGUGUCCGCCCAGCUUCCGGCCGAGAACAAGAAAAGUUUCCAGGCGUUUAACAUCAAACCACUGCGCAUCACACUGUUCACGCCGGCCAAUCUGGACACGAGCGCCGAGGAGGAACGGCAGCAGCACGAGGAGGCGGCGACGCAGGCGGACGCAGAUCCCAGGGCGGCAAAGAAGGCGGAGGAGGUUGCGAAGGCGUGUGUUUGUUGCAGUGAGGAAGCAAAGGAUGACUGCAAAACGCCCGGCAGAGAGUCGUCCGCCUCCAGCGAGGACGUCUUCAUCUGUCUCGAUGAGCUGGGCGGUCAGGUGGAGGAGGAGGACCUGUCGGAGCUCCACCUGCGGCUGCUCGCCCUGCAGUCGGCCAGCAGAAAGUGGCAGCAGAAGGAGCAGCAGGUGAUGAAGAGGAGCAGAGAACCGGCGGCGGGCAGGCCGAGGCCCGCCGACCGCAGGGCCAGACCCCGGUCCAAACCUCAGGACAGAGAGCGAGACAAGGCCAAGCCCGGGCCCAGAGAGCGACCUAAACCCGCACCCAGGACCGCAGCCAGAACUCCUCCGGACAGAAGCAGAGGCAAGAAGAGCACGGGCCCAGCCUCGGCGAGCAAACAAGCGUUGCGGAAACAACAGCUGCGCUCAUCUAAGCUUCAGCGGAAGCAGGAGGAAGACGAAUGGCAUAAACGAGAGGACGAAAUCCGCAAGAUCCGCGAUCUGUCCAACCAGGACGAGCAGUACAAGCGAUUCAUGAAGCUGGUGGGCGGCAAGACGCACGGCUGCGCCAAGGUCAGGGGUGGAGAACUGAGAAAGUCCUCCACCGGUAGGACGGGCCCAGAUGCCACAGGAAACCUCUACCAGUACGACAACUACGACGAGGUUGCCAUGGACACGGACAGUGAACCCGGUUCCCCAGCACGUCCUCCUUUCCCAGCAGAAGACUCGGCAGCGGCGUCUUUCCCUCUGCCGCCGCUUUAUGUGAAGCCCUUCGCCGCCUGCGCCCCUCCCCCGCCGCCCCCCCUACCCCCUCUGACCAGCAAUCCGGCGCCCCCUCCCAAGCCUCCGUUUGCUGAUGAGGAAGAGGAGGAGGAGAUGCUGCUCAGGGAGACCUGUCUCAUGUCCAUGGCCAACAAGCGGCUGGUGACCGCAGAGCAGGAGCAGUUCUGGAGCGGUCCCCCCUCCCCGAGCGGGGCUCCCCCCGCAGGCGUAGAGCAGCCCGCCCGAGGAAACCUGAGCGCUGUCAGCCUGAACACCAUGACGGUGCUGCGCGGAGACAAGUUCACGCGAGGAGGAGCUUCCAGAGCACCACUGGUGCUGCCACGUCACAAGUCCGUGGUGGUGUGUCUGAACGAGUCGGACGACAGCGAUUCUGACUUGGAUGCCGCGGCGCAGGGGAUGUUCGGCGGCCUGGAGUUCAUGAUCAAAGAAGCCCGAAGGACGGCCGAGGUCAUCGCCACCAAGUCCAAAGGCGCAUCGGAGAAGGAGAACAAUCCGGUGCGGACCCCCGAAGCUUUGUCCGAGGCCAAGAAGGCAGAGUACCGCUUCCUCAGGGAGGAGCUGGCCAGCAGAGAGAAGCAGAAGGCGUCCCAUCCUGGCGCUCGGUUGGCGGCCGCCGAUCCCGCCGCCCCGUCGCCGGCGAGUGAAGCCGAGCGCAAGCUACUGAAGCAAAGAGAGUUGCUCCUGCGAGACGAGGCGCUGCUGAAGAACCUCCUGCAGCAACAGCUCAAGAAGUCCGAGUCGCUCAAGGCGGCCGAGUCCAAGGCGGCCAGGCUGAGGGAACAGACGCAGGCCACCGAGAAGAUCGUGCAGGUCAACAAGACGCUGCUCAAGAAGAUUCAGGAGCAGGUGCGGCGCGUGGAGCACCGCGUGUCCAUCAAGAAGACGCUGGCGGCCCACUUGGAGCAGGAGCUACUUUGGACUCAGAAGGCUACGGGAAGAGAACCCAAACGCAAAGCCGGAGCCGUCCACAAGCCGGCCAGGAAGCUUCAGCGGGUGGAUGCCGCCAAUCACUUUGCGGCACUGAUGGCUCAGAAGCAGCGUCUGCAGCAACUGGAGUCCGAAUACGCUCUGAAGAUCCAGCAGCUGAAGGAGGCCCAGGCCCUGCGCAACAAAGUGACGCCGAGCGAGCGGAGGCCCAAACCCGCCGCGCUUCCCGACCCCAAAGUUUGCCUUUCGGCUUCCUCGGGCCCGCCUCAGCCCUCCCUGCACGACCUCACCCAGGACGUCCUCGUACUGGACAGCGAGGAUGGUCCGGAGGCGGACGAUCCCGAGGCGGAGCGCCCCGAGACGGAAGCCUCGGAGAGGACCGGCACCCCCUACGCGGCGUCCGCUCGCCCUUGGCGCCGCUCCGACGCCACCAAACCCAACCUGGAGCAGCCGAGCUCCGCCCCCCCCGCCGUAGGCCGUGGCGCUGCCAAGCCCGUCGAGAGCUCUAUGGACGGACCCGCAGAUUUGGAAGCGCUGAGACGCCGGCACGGACGGCGGCCCGGGCUGGGAGAGCUGGUCCUGGAGGAGCUGGCCGUGCUGGGGGAGACGCUCAAAGCGGAGGAAGAUGCGGACGCGCCCAAAAGCACCAAGGUGCAGGUGCUCACAGCGGACACGGAUGCAAGUACAAGCGUGUGCUGGCCCAGCAGGCUGGUUCCUUUAAGCCCUUACCGCAGUCCUCUGUUGGUCUUCAGGUCUUACAGGUUCAGUCCGUACUACCGGACCAAGGAGAAGUUAUCCCUGAGCUCGGCCACCUACAGCAACGUCAUCCAGCCCCAACGCUGCUUCUGUCGCUUUGACCUGACUGGGACCUGCAACGACGACGACUGCUCAUGGCAGCAUGUCAGGAGCUGCACGCUGGCAGGAAAUCUCCUCUUCCAGGAUGUGCUCUCGUACAACUUGUCUCUGAUCGGCUGCUCGGACAGCAGCUCUGACAGCCAAGUCGGCGCCGCCGCAGAAAAGUACGUGAGCAAGCUGCUUGGUCCGCACAAAGGCGGGAUGGCGGCAGACCAGACUGCCGUCUUCCUGGUCAGCAAAGUCAACGAGAGUCGUCAUCACGUGCCGCCCUUCACCACCUGGAAGGGCAAAAGGAAAUGGAGGCCAUCUGCGCAGAGCGAGCGCAGCGCCGACUGGGACAGCGAGGAGGACGCGUCAGGAGAGGAGCGGCCAUGCGGAACGUCUGAUGUGCGCGUGAGCCGGUUAGACGCGUGCGUGACGUCUGAGGACAAGCGUUACUUUGUCAGCGACACGGACGACAUCUGCAAGCUGGAGAGCGGCGUGUCGGACAACCCCGGAGACACGCAGCUGUGGAUCAAGCUGGCCUUCAGAUACCUCCGCCAAGACGACACGCCGCCAACCGAGUGUUUGGAGGCGGCCCUGAACACACUUUCUCGCGCGCUGGAGCACAACUGCGACCACCCCGAAGUAUGGACUCACUACCUGACGCUUUUCUCCCGCCGCGGACGCCACGACGAAGUGCAGGAGAUGUGUCAGAUGGCCGUGGAGCACGCGCCGCACCGCCGCGUCUGGUGGAACUAUCUGAGCUUGGCGAGCACGUUUGAGGGGAAGGACUCUGUGUGCGAGCGUCUCCUCCACUUCCUGCUGGGCGAGGCGGCGUGCGGGUGCGUGUCCGAGGAGCGCUCCUUCCAGCUUUUGGAGGCUCUGCUCUACCGCGUCCACUUGAAUGUCUUCACGGGCCGCUCGGAGGCCGCCCUCGCCAUCUUUCAGGACGCCUUGAAGCGCGUCGGCCCGCACGGCGUUGGCAAGCACCUCCAAGCGGGCCACCGCGCACUGGCCUGGUUGGCGUACAUCCACUUGAAGGAGUUCGGCCGGCUCCCGGCCGCUCUGUACGACCCGCUGGAGUCGGGCCCGUCCGGGCUGGUCAGCGCCGACUGCUUCCUGUUGCCCUGGCGGUCGGUCCGUGACGUCCGAACGCCGCACGAGCAGCUGGUCGGACUUUUUACAGAGGGCAUCCGUCAGUGUAGUGACAAAUCUUCGGGUCCGACCGAGAGGACGUUGGCGUGCCUGCCGCUGCAUACCAACUUCUUGUUCCUGCACAGGCUGUUGGACAGGUUUGAGGAGGCCGUGUUGUCGUGCGAGACGCUGCUGGAGGCAUGUCCCGCGUCGUGCGUCCUGCGAGACAUUCUGUGCGAGCUCCUCGUGCGCUCGGGGAAAGCAGACGGCGCUGCGGCCUCGUGGCUCGCUGCGCUGGCCGAGUGUCCCGACGACGCUGAGGUUUUCUACCACUGCUGUCGCUUCCUCAUGGCUCAGGACAAGUGGAGCGUCGUCACGCCGCUCUUCCGAGGAUUCGUCUCGUCUCUGUGUGAUGAGCAAAGCGCUCACGUGGCGCCCGUCCACGUCCUGCGGAGCGUGCUGGGUCUCCCCACAGACGGCGCGCAGUUGUCUGCUGUCACGAGGAAGGAUCUGGAAGAUCAGCUGCUCCGUCAGCGUUCCUUCCUGCACCUGCUUCACUGUCGAUGGCACUGGCUGCACGGGUCCACGGAAGACACGCUGGACGCCUUCGAGAGGGCGCUGGGCUCGGCGGCGCGCCGCGAAGAGCUUCACCGCCUGUGGACGGAUUACCUCCACUACUGCAGCGUGCGAGCGGCCGAGCGUUUGCCCGAGUUGAUCCUCCGCUGCCUGGGCACCGUGCCCGCCCGGCUGGAGGUGCCCUUUGACUCCACCCAUUUCUGGACGUCUUACCGCUUCCACAAUGAGGUGGUGGCGCUCUACCUCAGCUGCGUGGACGCGUCCCAGCAUGCGGCGCUCCUGGAAAGACUCCACUACAUGAUGCCCGCCAACCUCGCCCUGGCGCUCAGGUUGAUGCAGCAGGAGUCGCACGAGGGAAACUUGGAGCACGUCCGAUUCCAGGCCAGAAUGUUGACCAGCAGCGCCCCCAAGUGUUUGCCAGCUUGGAACAUAGCCAUCGCUGUGGAGGCGGAGCUUAAGCAGCCGACAGAGUGGUGACUGUGUACAGUUGCUGUUUGAAUCUUGAAUGCUGUAAGUAAUGACUUUAUUAUGCUGAAGUUGGUUUGAUAUAAGAUAUUUUCCUGAUUUAUUAUUGUACUCAAAGUUAGUGUAUCUUAACUGUUGUAGAAAAUCUGUUCUUUUUGAUAAGAUAAUGUCUAAUUGAAGUUUUGCCUUUUGAAGUUGGUUUCUAAGCGUAUCUGUCGGAUAAUUGCAUAUUCCUCUGUGAGGUGUUUAAUUUUUUUCCUCAAUUCCAUUUUCAAAUUUUUGUUCUUGUUUUUUUUUUCUUAUACGAAGAAUAUGUUUUGAUGCGACCUAUCAAUACAGCUUUCCUAGUUUCCCACACCACAGAUGGGGAUAUGGUUGGGCAGUCGUUGCGUUUCAAAAACUCGUCCCAUUCUUUCCUCAGGAAAUAAUCCAAAUCCAGGUCCUUCAAUAGGGACGCGUUGAAGUGCCAUGUCGGUGGCGGUCCCAAACUCGACUCAGUUUUUAGAUUGAGAGAAAUUGGUGCAUGGUCGCUGAUGAUGAUUGGAUGUAUUUUGGAGGUAAUUCUUUGAGCUGACGAAUUGUUUGAAAGAAAAAAAAUCUAUUCUUGAGAAAGAGCGGUGAACCGAUGAGAAAAAUGUCUAUUCUCUCUUUGUACCGUUUUUCAGCCUCCAUAUGUCAACAAGACCAAAGUCGUCCGUAUACUGCUCUAGUAUAUUGGGGCAUUGUGGCUGAUUGCUAUUUUCGAGAUUUGAGCGAUCUAUUCGGGGAUUUAGCGUGAGGUUAAAAUCACCUCCCAUGAUAAUUGUAGAAUUGACAAGUGUGAAAGUAGCAUGUGAAACAAGGCUGGAUCAUCUUUAUUCUGAGCGUAGACAUUGACAAUUGUGUGAAGUUUGUUAAAUAUUGUAGCCUGUAUAAUUACGUAUCGGCCUUCUGGAUCUGCUACUGUAAAAAGUAGUCUUUUAUGGACUAGUAUUGAGACUCCUCUAUGUCUACUGUUAUAAAAGGCCAAGAUUGAGUGAAAUUAGCCAAUGAGGCAUUUUUCUUCUGACUUAAUGAGGUGCGUUUCUUGUAAUAGGAGGAGGUCUGUUUUAAAUUUAGUGAUAUAAUCCAUAAUCUUAAUUCUCUUUGCCUGCAGUCGAAUACCAUUGACAUUCCAUGACACAAAAGUGUGACAUAUAAAGGGUGCGUGUAUCAUCAUUUUAAAUAGAUUGGGUCGUAUGUGGUCGUUGUUGUUGUUUUGACAGUUUUCGGGAGAUUUUUUGGUAUUGUUGACAAAUGUUAUUUAGAGAGGGUGAUUUAAGUACAGCAAAGCCGGGGUACAUAGAAGGGCAACGAACAAACACUGAACAUAAAAAGGGGAUAGUAUGUUGCGUGGUGGUGGUUUGUAGUGCGCAAGAAGAGUUUUGAGCGACUUGUGUGUUUAGUGUGUGUGGAAACAAGCAUAGCAGGAAAGCAAACAGGAGUGAGAAUUCAUGCUGGUGGCGUGCGUGAUUGCGUUUUUUUAGUUCCGCUGACAUUGACAUCAUGUUUGAUCGAAGCGCAGUAGUAUUAUCUAAUCUUAGUUCUCUGACCUGUUGUUGCGUGAACUCCAAGCUGUUUCUGAGUUCGGCGAUCUCUUGGCGAAGCAAGUGGAAUGAAUAAUUUCUUGUCGAUUGAGAAGAGGACACUAAUCUGUGUCUUGUCGAAUCAAGUAAAUCCUCGGUUGAAGUGGAAGAAUCAGCUUUUUUUUUCUCUUCAGCGGCAGCUCGACGCGAGGGAUCAGAUCAUCCAUGACAGACGAGUUGGCGUUGACGUAACUGCGUGAAUCGCAAGUGGCUCUCUACAAGUUAGCGCUGCUAGCGAAGCUGGCGAAGGCAAUGAGAAAAGAGCGAAGCGACCAUCCGCCGCUGAAAAGAGACAUUUUGUCUUGUAAUAGCUGCUUUUCCAAGUCUAUGCGAGGGGCGCCGCCAUGUUUUUCGUCUUCGGAGGUCACGCAAUCUCUCGCGCUGUGACAGCAUGCUCACACCCUCCCCACCAUCUCAGUCAUCUUCAACAUCCCAGAAUAUUCGUCUCCGUGGCGAUGGACAGGAGCCCAGCGUCCGCGUAGUCGUUUAACGCGCGGCACCAAUGCUAACCUUAGACGUUUAUUAGGGCGGCGAGUCGUCGGAAGGCGCGGGAGACCCCGUUUGUGCUCAUGGCCACUUCCUGCUCUUCCUCCUCGUUUGCUUCUGUGUUUGCAGACUCGCCGUGUUGCGCAACAAGCCCUCCAGAACCUUCCGCUCUGUGCCCACCUGUGGAAACAGCUGCUGCAGUUGGAGGCGUGCGUUGGUGGCGCGGGCG